CAGCCGCCACGGGAAUACGAAGGGGGCUAGCGUUGUUCGGAAUUACUGGGCGUAAAGCGCACGUAGGCGGACAUUUAAGUCAGGGGUGAAAUCCCGGGGCUCAACCCCGGAACUGCCUUUGAUACUGGGUGUCUAGAGUAUGGAAGAGGUGAGUGGAAUUCCGAGUGUAGAGGUGAAAUUCGUAGAUAUUCGGAGGAACACCAGUGGCGAAGGCGGCUCACUGGUCCAUUACUGACGCUGAGGUGCGAAAGCGUGGGGAGCAAACAGGAUUAGAUACCCGUGUAGUCCCUGUCUCUUAUAC
rnacentral:rRNA from 1 species